UCAGAAUGUUCAGAGAAAAUUUAAAAGUAGCAUUCCCAUAAUGUUUGCAAAAUGAUUUAACAGAAACUGAAUGUUUUAAGCGUUCAGAGAUUGAUCAUAAAUACUUUAA